rfam:Biomphalaria glabrata isolate BB02 unplaced genomic scaffold LGTN_random_Scaffold383, whole genome shotgun sequence.
UGGCUGAGUGGUAAAGCGCUUGGUUUCCGAACCGAGGGCUCCGGGUUCGAAUCCUGG